GAUUCCACCUACAGCAAAGCUGGAUGCUAUGGUUGGCAGAGGCAAGCCCCUUGCCUGCACUUCAGGCCAAAGCCGGGAUGUGGCCUAGAUGGUUCCUAAGGUCCCUGACAGUCCUGAGAUCUUUCAUCUUGUCUAUUUCAGGUCAAAGGUGCCUACAUGUUCCUUCUAGCUUUGUUUCCCUGAUGUUCCUUGCCACCUGCUACUCCUCUCUGAGCUACUUUUCCAGGUUCCACAGGGAGAGGUUCAGCUGUCCAUGGUAGACAUGAGGGUAGAGAAUGAGAUGGUUGGGUUCCACUUACCUUUCUAUCAUCUUGCAGUAUGGAUGUCUCUUGACUGGUACCAUGUAGACUUUUGAGGGCAGACAGGAGUCUGCAGAGAGAUACUGGGGAUAUUGAGCAGCAGCAAUGGGGUUGGGAGGCAGAAAUGAGGACAGGAACAUUUACCUUGUGUUUCUCUCAGCUUCUCAGAUGACCAAGAUGGUGCUGCCGAUGGUGUUGAGGACGGAGAACCCACCAAGCCCCGUUAGGAGCCACCUAGACUGGAUGCAGAGCACAGCUAAAACCUUUGAAGAGGAAUUUAUUAUAUCCUACAAACCUGGGAGGCAGAGGUUGCAGUGAGCCAAGUUCGGUCCAUUGCACUCCAGCCUGGGCAACAAGAAUGAAACUCUGUCUCAAAAAAACAAAAGUUGGCUAGGGCCAGGUGUGGUGGCUCACACCUGUAAUCCCAGCACUUUGGGAGGCUAAAGCAGGCGGAUCACCUGAGGUCAGAAGUACAGGACCAUCCUGGCUAAUAUGGUGAAACCCCAUCUCUACUAAAAAUACAAAAAAAAAAAAAAAAAAAAAA
rnacentral:lncRNA from 1 species